rnacentral:rRNA from 1 species
GCAAGUCGAGGGGCAGCAUUCACUUCGGUGAGAUGGCGACCGGCGCACGGGUGCGUAACGCGUAUGCAACCUACCUUAUACAAAGGGAUAGCCCAUGGAAACGUGGAUUAAUACCUUAUGGUACUAUAAAGCUGCAUAGUUUAAUAGUUAAAACUUCGGUGGUAUAAGAUGGGCAUGCGUAGGAUUAGGUAGUUGGUGAGGUAAUGGCUCACCAAGCCGACGAUCCUUAGGGGUUCUGAGAGGAUUAUC